CCUACGGGGGGCAGCAGUGAGGAAUAUUGGUCAAUGGGCGCGAGCCUGAACCAGCCAAGUAGCGUGAAGGAUGACUGCCCUACGGGUUGUAAACUUCUUUUAUAAAGGAAUAAAGUGAGGCACGUGUGCCUUUUUGUAUGUACUUUAUGAAUAAGGAUCGGCUAACUCCGUGCCAUCAGCCGCGGUAAUACGGAGGAUCCGAGCGUUAUACGGAUUUAUUGGGUUUAAAGGGAGCGUAGAUGGGUUGUUAAGUCAGUUGUGAAAGUUUGCGGCUCAACCGUAAAACUGCAAUUGAUACUGGCAGUCUUGAGUACAGUUGAGGUAGGCGGAAUUCGUGGUGUAGCGGUGAAAUGCUUAGAUAUCACGAAGAACUCCGAUUGCGAAGGCAGCUUACUAAACUGCCACUGACAUUGAUGCUCGAAAGUGUGGGUAUCAAACAGGAUUAGAUACCCGAGUAGUC
rnacentral:rRNA from 1 species